rnacentral:sRNA from 25 species
AUAUAUGUAACGCUUAAUCACUUUGAACGGGAGAACCAUUUUUUGGGGUGAAUCUUAUUACACGAUAAUAAGUAGGGUUAAUUUUCUUCAAUCCGAAUCCGUCAGCUAAUCUCGUAAGCGUAGAAGAGAAGUUUU